rnacentral:rRNA from 1 species
AGCAGCCGCGGUAAUUCCAGCUCCAAUAGCGUAUAUUAAAGUUGUUGCAGUUAAAAAGCUCGUAGUUGAAUUUCGGGAUCAAUACGUCGGUCGUGCUUCGGUACGUACUGGCGUCAUUGAUUUCUCCCUUCUGACGAACCAUGAUGUCAUUAACUUGGUGUCAUGGGAAAUCAGGACUGUUACUUUGAAAAAAGUUAGAGUGUUUAAAGCAGGCUCACGCUUGAAUACAUUAGCAUGGAAUAAUGAAAUAGGACGUUCGAUCCUAUUUUGUUGGUUUUUAGGAUCAACGUAAUGAUUAAUAGGGAUAGUUGGGGGCAUUAGUAUUCAAUUGUCAGAGGUGAAAUUCUUGGAUUAUUGAAGACUAACUACUGCGAAAGCAUUUGCCAAGGAUGUUUUCAUUAAUCAAGAACGAAAGUUAGGGGAUCGAAGACGAUCAGGAUACCGUCGUAGUCUUAACCAUAAACUAUGCCGACUAGGGAUCGGAUGAUGUUAAUUUUUUCAAUGACUCAUUCGGCGCCUU